GGAGAGCUGGGCCGGCGCACCUGCGCCGUGUAUGUCUGUGGAUCCCGGGCCGUGAUGACGGCUAGGGAGUUACGUCUCCUAGUUGUGCUGGAAGCCGUUUCUUGUGCUCAUUCUCUGUAACCGGCGAAGAGGGUUGACCUUUAGGGUUCUGAGCGGUCCGGUUCCCGAGCUCCCGCCCGGGCCGCAUAAUCUCGCCCAGCACUUUUCCUUCCUUCCUUCUUGGUUAUGGCUUGACGAACCCUUAAGGACUCGUCGGCCAACGUUAUGGCACAUCCCGGAGAAGGACAAGGACCCUUGACUCGAGGGGAGUAAAGACAGUACUUGGAAGAUGACGGGUCUAGUCAUCCUUGCACAAGGAAAGCCUUCGCGCUUUGGCAGCUGUACAUGUUGGCACUCCUCAGGCGCUGAAAUACUGAAGUCCAGCUCAUUCUCAGUCGCUUGAAAACUGUGUUCACUGUUGGACAGUAUAGGCACAGACCACCAGGUUCCGGUCCAUUAAAGGACCUCAACAAGAGGCGCCCAGAACAGGAGCUUGGUGCAUGUAUGCAGAUUCGGACAAGAGUGACCCCAGGGCCUACUGAGGCUGAGUGAAGCCAGACUUCCCGUCCUGCCAGCCUCACCCCUUCGGCAUCCGGUACGGCAGCCAGUACGAGCAACAGCAGGGUGGUUACCCUCCUGGCUACAGCUCUGGCCGCGGGGCAGGUGGAAAUGGAC